rnacentral:rRNA from 1 species
CCCUUAGAUUUUCUGGGCCGCACGCGCGCUACACUGAUGAAUGCAACGAGCUCUACCCUUGACCGAAAGGCCCGGGUAAACUUGUGAAACUUCAUCGUGAUGGGGAUAGAUUAUUGCAAUUAUUAAUCUUCAACGAGGAAUUCCUAGUAAGCGCGAGUCAUCAGCUCGCGUUGAUUACGUCCCUGCCCUUUGUACACACCGCCCGUCGCUCCUACCGAUUGAAUGGUCCGGUGAAAUCUUCGGAUUGCUGACCAAGAUCCAGCAAUGGAGCUUGGUUGCGAGAAGUUGAUUAAACCUUAUUAUUUAGAGGAAGGAGAAGUCGUAACA